rnacentral:lncRNA from 1 species
UACGUCCAAGCGGAACUGGGGCGUCCCGGGCUCCUGCAACCUGAACACCCGGUGUGAAAGGAAGGUGACAGCGGGGGGGGGGGCGGGGCUGGGUGCUGCUCCUGCCCCUCGCCGAGUUGAGAGAGGCGGACCGGGAGCGGAGCAGGGUCGGGAUGGAGCGUCAGGAUGGACGAGGACGUGCUGACCACCCUGAAGAUCCUCGCCAUCGGCGAGAGUGGCGUGGGCAAACCCAGACUUAGUGGAAGUGAGAUAACACUUGUGUUGUUGAAAAAUCAUUGCGCAACAAAGGAUAUCCUAACUAAUUCAAGUCAGUGGGUUAUUUUUCAAGUUUAUUUCGUACUUGGAGUGUUAAUGAGCAUGUGUGAGAACAGCCAGGAGAUCAGAAUUAUGAAAUGUGGUGCUGCUACUUGUGUGACCUUGUGUGUGACACUGAACACUCUAGGCCUUCAUUUCCUCAUUUGAAAAGUGAGGUUCAAGUGGAAAUCUCUCAGCCCCUGUCUAGUGUUAAACGGCCUGCUCUUGAGGUUCACAGAUGAUACUUUUGAUCUAGAACUUGCAGCAACAAUAGUUGGCUAAUAACAAAGAGGGGAAAACUAAAUCACAGACUCCGUAAUCCACUAUACUAGAAGGCAGCUAGAACCCCAAGCCGCAUUACAGGAGGAAUGGCUGCCAGAAGCGGCGGAAACUAAGCAGGCCUCCCAUGGGAAGAAGUGGAGAGGAUGCCACAGCUGCAGAGCUUGGAGCCAGCAAGAGAUGCUACGUGAAACUGAGAGGCCCCCCUGAGGUGCACAACCUGAUCCCUUGUUUUUAAAAGCAAAGCACAUUUCCUAAGCUAAUGGCAGGAGUUUCCCUGCAUCUGGUUUGAUCAUAGGAAGUUGGGGAAGUGAAGAUAAACAAGGAGUCACACAGACAAGAAUUUUGCAUUUGUCCGUCUUUAUAGCGGUAGAGGAGACGCCUUUGCCUUGUGAAAAACCUCAAGGCUGCCUAUCUCCUUUGGCUGUUACGAAGUAAAAAACUAAAUGAUUCUCAUGUAAAACCCUGAAUCAAGACAAACUUUUGCUGGUGCAGAACUGAGCACUGUAGCCUUCUGCUUGAACCUCCUGCAAAUACCGUGUUCAGGAAUAGCUCAGCACUUUCAACAAUGACUUAGCAAAGAGAAUCCAGCUUAAGGCCACUACCACCAUUCAAGAAUCAAAAAGGAAGAAAUAGAAAAAGAACAAGUGAAGAAUACUCAUCAGAAAAAAAUAUUGCUGUAAAGAAGAUGAAAACAGGACUGAACAUUUUUUUUUUUUUUUUAGUGGCCACACUCAACAGCAUGUAGAAGUUCCCAGGCUAGGAGUCAAAUUGGAGCCACAGCUGCCGGCCUACGCCACAGCCACAGAAAUGCAGGAUCCAAGCUGCAUCUGUGCUCUACACCACAGCUUAUGGCAACGCAGGAUUCUUAGCCCACUGAGUGAGGCCAGGGAUCGAACCUGCAUCCUCAUGGAUCCUAGUCAGGUUUGUUAUCAUUGAGCCAUGACGGGAAGUCCAGGAACAAACAUUUUGCUAUGAAUUUAAGAUCCUUAGUGGAAAUAUUUAGCACUGAGAGCACAAAACUGUGAUAUAAAAGGUCAGGGAAGAGACAGUAUGACUACAUGAGAAGACGCAGUGUAAGCUGAGUGGAAAGAAGAAUAAAUGAGAAAAUGAAACCAUCACUGAAAUGAAGGGGAAAUUGGAAGAAUCACAAGGGACGGUAAAGACUGGAAAACACAAUAAAGAGUUUAGAGCAGAAAAUGAUUGAUAAGGAAAUCAAAAAAGGAAUGAAUGGCAUGUCUUUUUCAGUCUCAGAAGAGACAGUGAAAUACAGCCAAUAUUUAAUGAUAUAAUCCAAGGUAACAUUUAUGACAUAAAAAUAAACAUAAAUACACACAAAGUUGUAAGAAUAUUUUGACCAGAUUUUUGUUUUUUGGGGGGUGGAUGGGGGUGAGGGGGAGGCAUUAGGUUUCUUUUUUUGCUACAGCAAAGCCAUACGAUGGUAUUCAGUCAGGUUUUUACCUGAGGUCCUUAGUCAGCUGCCUAGAUACAGCUGAUUCAGAUAUAAGUGAGGUUUUUAGAUCCUCAAAGUAGUUACAUUAACUUUAUUUAGUCUGAUUAAAUAGGCUAAAUUGACUUCAUGCUUUUUGUUUUUUUAAAUUUACCCUCUUUUUUGGUAACCUUUGAAUAUGAAGAGAGUGCUUUAAGUAAGCCUUUUUUUUAAAAUAAAAAUAUUAGAAAACUUAAAACUGUUUCUCUAAGACAGGCUCACAAGGUAUUUCUUAAUCUGAAAGACUUGUUUUUUGAGGGUUGACACAUUUCAACUAAAGUUAGACAAAUUUUGGUUAUUGUUGGUUGACUGAGAUCAUUGAGUCUUAUCACUCCCUUGCUAAGUUUUUAAAAAUACCAAUGGCUGUUUGGCUUCAGAGGACAGAUAUCAAGUCUGUUCCAUCCACAAGUUACCUUAUAGUUUGGGCUUCCUUAACAAAAAGAUAAUUAAAAUGGAAAGUAGUUCAUACAUCUUGUUCAGUGCCAUUGCAUAAACUUGUUAAAACAAUUGGGCGUAUGAGACAAUUCAAAUAAAAGUAGAACUAUUUCAUACAGUUUCAUUCUAUGAAACAUUUUAAAUGGAAUAAAGCAGUAAAAAUGGCUC